UUCUUCUUCCUUAUUUUACUCCUCCUUUUUCUUUAACUUUAUUUGACCUUCCCAAAUAUUACCGUUACCAUUUUACGUAUUUAAGAAAGAGGGAGGUUGCAGAGAACAGGAUACAGAGAGCAAGCAUAGAGGGAGAGCUAGAAGAAAGUUGUGGAGAAGUGAGAUUUAAAAAAUCUAAUUUUUUCCCCUCUUCUUCUUCACUACUCAAAACCCACUUUUCUUUUCCUUUUUCAUUUCCUUCUCUCUUUAAAACUCACCAUCUUCAUCCACCUCCUACCAUAUUCCCACUCUAACAAAGUCUCUUUUUUCUUCUAAUUUCUCUUAACAAAGUUUGGCACCAAUCUGACAAACCUCGAAUCGGCAAUACCUGACGGCGACAGUGACAAAUUCGGGAAGAACACAACAAAGACAAAGCGGUAUAAAAAAGAGGAAUUCUUUGGUGUGCCCGCGAGUCUGAAGCUGUGAAGGAGCACUUAAGCUACUGUGUUGGUGGGAGUCGAGUCACCGGAGAUCUGUGCAUCGGUUGUAGAGGUUGUCAAAAUUUCAUGCUAUUGUAGGUGGAUAGCCCGAUUCGUUGUAUUAUUGCUAUCCGUUGAGAUUGUAGUGCUUUGCGCCGGACUACUGUGAUGUGGGUUGUCGAAGCUUGUGGUCAUCGAGGGAUGUGUGCUGCUGGAGAUCGUUGGGACUUCCUACCGAUGCCGUGGGGUUGCCGGUGUGGGUGAAGAAGAAGAGAAGAUGAUGGUGUUAAAAAGAUAAUAAUAAUAAAGGAGGAGAUGGUGAAGGAAGAAUGAGAAGAUGAUCAUGGUGGUGAGAAAGAAGGGAGUGAAUGAGAUUUUUUUUUGUCUCUCUUCUUUAUGGGUUGUGUCCAUGAUGUGUUUGCUGUCUUCUCUUAAAUACCACUCAACAUAACCGUAA